rnacentral:rRNA from 1 species
ACCCAAUAGAUACCCGGGUAGUCCACGCCGUAAACGAUGGAUGCUAGCUGUUAUCAGUAUCGACCCUGGUAGUAGCGAAAGCUAACGCGUUAAGCAUCCCGCCUGUGGAGUACGGCCGCAAGGCUAAAACAUAAAGGAAUUGACGGGGACCCGCACAAGCGGUGGAGCGUGUUGUUUAAUUCGAUGAUAAGCGUAGAACCUUACCAGGGCUUGACAUCCUACUAAUCCAUCCGAAAGGAAGGAGUGCUUUCGGGCCGUAGUGACAGGUGCUGCAUGGCCGUCGUCAGCUCGUGUCGUGAGAUGUUUGGUUAAGUCCAUUAACGAGCGCAACCCUUUUAGUUAGUUGGAUUUCUCUAGCUAGACUGCCCCGGGCAACGGGGGUAGGAAGGAGGGGUAUGAUGUCAGGUCAGUAUUGCCCUUACGUCCUGGGCUACAAACACGCUACAAUGGCCGGUACAAACGGGCUGCCAAGUCGCAAGACGGAGCAAAUCCCAUCAAAACCCGGGUCUCAGUUCGGAUUGCAGGCUGAAACUCGCCUGCAUGAAG